AGCGAACGCUGGCGGCAGGCCUAAUACAUGCAAGUCGAACGGUCUCUUCGGAGGCAGUGGCGGACGGGUGAGUAACGCGUGGGAACGUGCCCUUUGGUACGGAACAACUGAGGGAAACUUCAGCUAAUACCGUAUGUGCCCUUCGGGGAAAGAUUUAUCGCCAUUGGAGCGGCCCGCGUUGGAUUAGCUAGUUGGUGGGGUAAUGGCCACCAAGGCGUACGAUCCAUAGCUGGUCUGAGAGGAUGAUCAGCCACACUGGGACUGAGACACGGCCCAGACUCCUACGGGAGGCAGCAGUAGGGAAUCUUGCGCAAUGGGCGAAAGCCUGACGCAGCCAUGCCGCGUGAAUGAUGAAGGUCUUAGGAUUGUAAAAUUCUUUCACCGGGGACGAUAAUGACGGUACCCGGAGAAGAAGCCCCGGCUAACUUCGUGCCAGCAGCCGCGGUAAU
rnacentral:rRNA from 1 species